AUUGAACGCUGGCGGCAGGCUUAACACAUGCAAGUCGAGCGGAGAUGAGGUGCUUGCACCUUAUCUUAGCGGCGGACGCGUGAGUAAUGCUUAGGAAUCUGCCUAUUAGUGGGGGACAAGAUUACGAAAGGAAUGCUAAUACCGAAUACGUCCUACGGGAGAAAGCAGGGAAUCUUCGGACCUUGCGAUAAUAGAUGAGCCUAAGUCCGAUUAGCUGGGUGGUGGGGGAAAGGCCUACCAAGGCGACGAUCUGUAGCGGGUCUGAGAGGAUGAUCCACCACACUGGGACUGAGACACGGCCCAGACUCCUACGGGAGGCAGCAGUGGGGAAUAUUGGACAAUGGGGGGAACCCUGAUCCAGCCAUGCCGCGUGUGUGAAGAAGGCCUUAUGGUUGUAAAGCACUUUAAGCGAGGAGGAGGCUACUGAGACUAAUACUCUUGGAUAGUGGACGUUACUCGCAGAAUAAGCACCGGCUAACUCUGUGCCAGCCGCCGCGGUAAGAC
rnacentral:rRNA from 1 species